CCUAGAGUUGUAGGCUUUGCCUGCUAUCUCUUACCCAUGUCUUUUGAGUACCUUCGCUUCCUCGGCGGGUCCGCCCGCCGAUUGGACAAUUUAUAAACCAUUUGCAGUUGCAAUACAGCGUCUGAAAAAACUUAAUAGUUA
rnacentral:misc_RNA from 1 species